rnacentral:rRNA from 1 species
ACGCUGGCGGCAGGCCUAACACAUGCAAGUCGAGCGGCAGCACGGGUACUUGUACCUGGUGGCGAGCGGCGGACGGGUGAGUAAUGCCUAGGAAUCUGCCUGGUAGUGGGGGAUAACGUUCGGAAACGGACGCUAAUACCGCAUACGUCCUACGGGAGAAAGUGGGGGAUCUUCGGACCUCACGCUAUCAGAUGAGCCUAGGUCGGAUUAGCUAGUUGGUGAGGUAAUGGCUCACCAAGGCGACGAUCCGUAACUGGUCUGAGAGGAUGAUCAGUCACACUGGAACUGAGACACGGUCCAGACUCCUACGGGAGGCAGCAGUGGGGAAUAUUGGACAAUGGGCGAAAGCCUGAUCCAGCCAUGCCGCGUGUGUGAAGAAGGUCUUCGGAUUGUAAAGCACUUUAAGUUGGGAGGAAGGGUUGUAGAUUAAUACUCUGCAAUUUUGACGUUACCGACAGAAUAAGCACCGGCUAACUCUGUGCCAGCAGCCGCGGUAAUACAGAGGGUGCAAGCGUUAAUCGGAAUUACUGGGCGUAAAGCGCGCGUAGGUGGUUUGUUAAGUUGAAUGUGAAAUCCCCGGGCUCAACCUGGGAACUGCAUCCAAAACUGGCAAGCUAGAGUAUGGUAGAGGGUGGUGGAAUUUCCUGUGUAGCGGUGAAAUGCGUAGAUAUAGGAAGGAACACCAGUGGCGAAGGCGACCACCUGGACUGAUACUGACACUGAGGUGCGAAAGCGUGGGGAGCAAAC